rnacentral:rRNA from 1 species
ACUAAGCGUACACGGUGGAUGCCCUGGCAGUCAGAGGCGAUGAAGGACGUGCUAAUCUGCGAAAAGCGCCGGCGAGGUGAUAUGAACCUUUGACCCGGCGAUGUCCGAAUGGGGAAACCCAGUGUGUUCCGACACACUAUCGUUAACUGAAUACAUAGGUUAACGAGGCGAACCGGGGGAACUGAAACAUCUAAGUACCCCGAGGAAAAGAAAUCAACCGAGAUUCCCCCAGUAGCGGCGAGCGAACGGGGAGCAGCCCAGAGUCUGAAUCAGCUUGUGUGUUAGUGGAAGCGUCUGGAAAGUCGCACGGUACAGGGUGAAAGUCCCGUACACGAAAGCACACAGGUUGUGAACUCGAAGAGUAGGGCGGGACACGUGGUAUCCUGUCUGAAUAUGGGGGGACCAUCCUCCAAGGCUAAAUACUCCUGACUGACCGAUAGUGAACCAGUACCGUGAGGGAAAGGCGAAAAGAACCCCGGCGAGGGGAGUGAAAAAGAACCUGAAACCGUGUACGUACAAGCAGUGGGAGCCUCUUUUAUGGGGUGACUGCGUACCUUUUGUAUAAUGGGUCAGCGACUUAUAUUCUGUAGCAAGGUUAACCGUAUAGGGGAGCCGAAGGGAAACCGAGUCUUAACUGGGCGUUAAGUUGCAGGGUAUAGACCCGAAACCCGGUGAUCUAGCCAUGGGCAGGUUGAAGGUUGGGUAACACUAACUGGAGGACCGAACCGACUAAUGUUGAAAAAUUAGCGGAUGACUUGUGGCUGGGGGUGAAAGGCCAAUCAAACCGGGAGAUAGCUGGUUCUCCCCGAAAGCUAUUUAGGUAGCGCCUCGUGAACUCAUCUUCGGGGGUAGAGCACUGUUUCGGCUAGGGGGCCAUCCCGGCUUACCAACCCGAUGCAAACUACGAAUACCGAAGAAUGUUAUCACGGGAGACACACGGCGGGUGCUAACGUCCGUCGUGAAGAGGGAAACAACCCAGACCGCCAGCUAAGGUCCCAAAGUCAUGGUUAAGUGGGAAACGAUGUGGGAAGGCACAGACAGCCAGGAUGUUGGCUUAGAAGCAGCCAUCAUUUAAAGAAAGCGUAAUAGCUCACUGGUCGAGUCGGCCUGCGCGGAAGAUGUAACGGGGCUAAACCAUGCACCGAAGCUGCGGCAGCGACACUAUGUGUUGUUGGGUAGGGGAGCGUUCUGUAAGCCGUUGAAGGUGUCCUGUGAGGGGUGCUGGAGGUAUCAGAAGUGCGAAUGCUGACAUAAGUAACGAUAAAGCGGGUGAAAAGCCCGCUCGCCGGAAGACCAAGGGUUCCUGUCCAACGUUAAUCGGGGCAGGGUGAGUCGACCCCUAAGGCGAGGCCGAAAGGCGUAGUCGAUGGGAAACAGGUUAAUAUUCCUGUACUUGGUGUUACUGCGAAGGGGGGACGGAGAAGGCUAUGUUAGCCGGGCGACGGUUGUCCCGGUUUAAGCAUGUAGGCGGAACGAUUAGGUAAAUCCGGUCGUUUAUUAACGCUGAGGUGUGAUGACGAGGCACUACGGUGCUGAAGUAACAAAUGCCCUGCUUCCAGGAAAAGCCUCUAAGCAUCAGGUAACAUCAAAUCGUACCCCAAACCGACACAGGUGGUCAGGUAGAGAAUACCAAGGCGCUUGAGAGAACUCGGGUGAAGGAACUAGGCAAAAUGGUGCCGUAACUUCGGGAGAAGGCACGCUGAUAUGUAGGUGAAGCCCCUGCGGGUGGAGCUGAAAUCAGUCGAAGAUACCAGCUGGCUGCAACUGUUUAUUAAAAACACAGCACUGUGCAAACACGAAAGUGGACGUAUACGGUGUGACGCCUGCCCGGUGCCGGAAGGUUAAUUGAUGGGGUUAGCGGUAACGCGAAGCUCUUGAUCGAAGCCCCGGUAAACGGCGGCCGUAACUAUAACGGUCCUAAGGUAGCGAAAUUCCUUGUCGGGUAAGUUCCGACCUGCACGAAUGGCGUAAUGAUGGCCAGGCUGUCUCCACCCGAGACUCAGUGAAAUUGAACUCGCUGUGAAGAUGCAGUGUACCCGCGGCAAGACGGAAAGACCCCGUGAACCUUUACUAUAGCUUGACACUGAACACUGGUCCUUGAUGUGUAGGAUAGGUGGGAGGCUUUGAAGCGUGGACGCCAGUCUGCGUGGAGCCAACCUUGAAAUACCACCCUUUAAUGGCUGGUGUUCUAACGUAGACCCGUGAUCCGGGUUGCGGACAGUGUCUGGUGGGUAGUUUGACUGGGGCGGUCUCCUCCCAAAGAGUAACGGAGGAGCACGAAGGUUAGCUAAUCCUGGUCGGACAUCAGGAGGUUAGUGCAAUGGCAUAAGCUAGCUUGACUGCGAGAGUGACGGCUCGAGCAGGUGCGAAAGCAGGUCAUAGUGAUCCGGUGGUUCUGAAUGGAAGGGCCAUCGCUCAACGGAUAAAAGGUACUCCGGGGAUAACAGGCUGAUACCGCCCAAGAGUUCAUAUCGACGGCGGUGUUUGGCACCUCGAUGUCGGCUCAUCACAUCCUGGGGCUGAAGUAGGUCCCAAGGGUAUGGCUGUUCGCCAUUUAAAGUGGUACGCGAGCUGGGUUUAGAACGUCGUGAGACAGUUCGGUCCCUAUCUGCCGUGGGCGCUGGAGAAUUGAGGGGGGCUGCUCCUAGUACGAGAGGACCGGAGUGGACGCAUCACUGGUGUUCGGGUUGUCAUGCCAAUGGCACUGCCCGGUAGCUAAAUGCGGAAGAGAUAAGUGCUGAAAGCAUCUAAGCACGAAACUUGCCCCGAGAUGAGUUCUCCCUGAGACUUUAAGUCUCCUGAAGGAACGUUGAAGACUACGACGUUGAUAGGUCGGGUGUGUAAGCGCAGCGAUGCGUUGAGCUAACCGAUACUAAUGAACCGUGAGGCUUAACC